rnacentral:lncRNA from 1 species
GCCCUCCAGAUGGUGUCCAUGCCUAUGCCACCUGCCAAGUGGACUUCUGCCCUGAGUGAGUUAGGGCACGUCAUCCUCCCUCCUGGACUUGGCUCCAUCACACAGCUGCCGAGCCUGUCUUGUUCUCAGUUGGCUUUCGGAAUGAAGCCCUGGAGCCAGAAUUGGCCAAGCAAUGGAUAAAGAUGGAGGGAAUGCCUGGCUGGAUCCCUGUGAGCCUGUGGAAGCCAGAGAGGGGGCUCCACCUGAACCGGACCUGCUGCCCCCCCGAUGACCCUGUCUUCACUGCAGAGAGAAUGUCAAGGUGUGAUCACCCCAAAGACCCCCAGAAACCAUCACUGGACCCCCUGACUCUGGCCUUGAAGACUUUCAUCUCUGGAGGGAGAAGACCAUAGACUCCCCAAUCCUUGUCAAAAGCUGUGUUUUUUCAAACUAAACCUGUAAGACCCCUUGCCAUCCCCUCUCAAGGAAGGACAGAGUUUGGAGGACAUUAGCCUGCUGUCACUUCCUUUUCCUGACAAAGCAAUAAAGGCUGUUCUUUCUGCUUCACCCCAA